AUAUAAGCAAAAUUGACUUUUUAGGUUCAUUCAUUUAAUGAUGUAUGUGGUUCAUAAUAUGAACCACAUACAUCAUUAAAUGAAUGAACCUAAAAAGUCAAUUUUGCUUAUAU
rfam:Medicago truncatula strain A17 chromosome 5, whole genome shotgun sequence.